rnacentral:rRNA from 1 species
GAUUAACGCUGGCGGCGUGCAUAACACAUGCAAGUCGAACGAUGAAACUUAAAUGAUUUCUUCGGAAUGAACUUAAGUGGAUUAGUGGCGGACGGGUGAGUAACGCGUGAGUAACCUGCCUUACACAAGGGGAUAGCCGUUGGAAACGACGAAUAAUACCCUAUGAAACUAUCACUUCGCAUGAAGCGAUAGUCAAAGUGUUAGCGGUGUAAGAUGGACUUGCGUCUGAUUAGCUAGUUGGUGAGAAAAAAGCCCACCAAGGCAACGAUCAGUAGCCGGCUUGAGAGAGUGGACGGCCACAUUGGGACUGAGACACGGCCCAGACUCCUACGGGAGGCAGCAGUGGGGAAUUUUGCACAAUGGGGGAAACCCUGAUGCAGCGACGCCGCGUGAUUUAGAAGGCCUUCGGGUUGUAAAAAACUUUUGUAUAGGAAGAAAAUGACAGUACUAUACGAAUAAGGUCCGGCUAAUUACGUG